GACGGAGGAUGCAAGUGUUAUCCGGAAUCACUGGGCGUAAAGCGUCUGUAGGUUGUUUAAAAAGUCUGCAGUUAAAGGGUUGAAGCUUAACUUCAAAAAUGCCGUAGAAACUUUUAAACUAGAGGAUGGUAGGGGUAGAGGGAAAUUUCCAGGUGGAGCGGUGAAAUGUGUAGAUAUUGGAAAAGACCACCGAUGGCGAAGGCACUCUACUGGGCCAUGACUGACACUGAGAGACGAAAGCUAGGGGAGCAAAUGGG
rnacentral:rRNA from 1 species